AUGGUCUGUAGACUUAGCCGCUCCCUAUAUGGUCUCAAACAGGCCCCUCGCGCCUGGUUUGAGCGCUUCGCAUCUGUGGUGACUGCCGCUGGUUUCUUGCCCAGUGACCAUGAUCCCGCACUGUUUGUUCACACGUCUCCUCGUGGUCGGACUCUUCUCCUUCUCUAUGUUGAUGACAUGAUCAUCACUGGUGAUGACACUGAUUACAUUGCCUUUGUUAAGGCUCGCCUUCGCGACCAGUUUCUUAUGACUGAUCUUGGUCCACUUUGCUACUUUCUUGGGAUUGAGAUCUCCUCGACCUCUGAUGGCUUCUACAUCUCCCAAAAAUAUAUAUUCAGGAUCUCCUUGCUUGCACUGCUCUCGGUGAUGAGCGUACGGUUGUGA
rnacentral:rRNA from 1 species